AGAGUUUGAUCCUGGCUCAGGAUGAACGCUGGCGACGUGGAUAAGGCAUGCAAGUCGAACGGUUGUAGCAAUACAACAGUGGCGAACGGGUUAGUAACACGUAGAUAUCAACCCUUUACUCGGGCAUAACCUGGAGAAAUCCAGGCUAAUUCCCGAUAGUCCGGCAACGGUAAAGAUUUUUCGGUAAAGGAUGAGUCUGCGUCCUAUCAGCUAGUUGGUGAGGUAAUGGCUCACCAAGGCAAUGACGGGUAGGCGGAGUGAGAGCUUGACCGCCAACAAUGGCACUGAGACAUGGGCCAUACUCCUACGGGAGGCAGCAGUCGAGAAUAUUUGACAAUGGGCGAAAGCCUGAUCAAGCGACGUCGCGUGUGGGAUUAAGAUCUUCGGAUUGUAAACCACUUUUCUAGGGGAAGAACUUUGACUGUACCCUAGGAAUAAGGGGUGACUAAACUCGUGCCAGCAGUAGCGGUAAUACGAGUGCCCCGAGCGUUAUCCGGAUUUAUUGGGCGUAAAGGGUCUGUAGGUGGUUUGUUAAGUUUCUCGUUAAAGCUCCAGGGCUCAACCUUGGAAAAGCGGGAAAAACUGGCAAACUAGAGGAUGUUAGAGGCUGAUGGAACACUUGGUGAAGGGGUGGAAUCCGUUGAUAUCAAGUGGAACACCAAAAGCGAAGGCAAUCAGCUGGGACAGUCCUGACACUGAUAGACGAAAGCGUGGGGAGAGAAAAGGAUUAGAUACCCUUGUAUUCCACGCCCUAAACGAUGAAUACUAGCUAUUGCAAGUGUCGACCUUGCAGUGGCGAAGCUAACGCGUUAAGUAUUCCGCCUGGGAAGUACGGCCGCAAGGCUAAAACUCAAAGGAAUUGACGG
rnacentral:rRNA from 1 species